rnacentral:lncRNA from 1 species
UUGCUCUUCUGUCACCAAGUCUUUAAAGCGGCCGUACAGGGACUCUCUGUGAAGGUUUUCCAUACGCUUCUGGAUAACAUGGCUGUAAGAUCUCUGUUCCCUUAUUCCAUUACAGCUUCCUUAGGCUUCUCCAACCUGAAGGCAGACAGAGCUGAUUUUCAGGACAGCUGCUGGGUUUGGCUUUAUUGUGGAUACAUUUUUCUCCCUUAGCCUUGUUUACUUCUCCCCAGACUUGAGAUAACAGGACAGUAGUGUCACCUUUAUCUUGUCUCAAGUUCCCUUAGGUGGCUUAACUCACAGUCCUGAAUUCCAGUCAGGAGGCAUUUUCAGGGCAGGGUGGGCUUGGGUGGUCUCAGCUUCUUUAUUCAGUUUUGUCACAAUGGGCAAAAAGUCUGCUAUAGCAAUAUUUAAGCCAUUUGCCAUAACAUUCCAGUCUCUCUCAAGUCCUGUGAGGAGCAGCUGAGAGAGCAGGGCUUGUUUAGCUUAAAGAAGAGGAGGUCCACUCGAGCUAUUUUUAAGUAAUAUUUAAGCUACAGCUUUGUCCUAGCUAUUAUUAAUGUUCAGCUUUUUAGCUCCAGGUUUCAGUAUGAGCCAUCUUUGAAUUGCACAACAUAGCCAUGUAAUUCAAAUAAAGUCCAGCUAGAGGCCUAACAAUAAAAGCUUGGCUAUUUAUGCCAAACAAGCUCUCGGCUACUUUCAAAUCAUAUAAAAUUUUUAGCACCAGUAUAUCCCUUGAAUCUGCCAUGAGUUGGGUUCUGGAUUUUCAGAGUUCCUUGUUGCUCCUUUUGUUGAGGCAUUGUCGCUCAUCUGUGACAUUCUCCCUUGAAAAUGGCUUCUGGAUUUCCGAGAAGGACACUGACGCCUCAUCUUUUGUCGCGGGAAAUGAUGAAAUCUUUAACUCUGCUUCCCUCUAAGUUCCUGAGGGAGAAGUUUGUCAGCACGAAGAGCAGCACUGGGGGGAGUAUUCUGCCCAGAAUUGGCCCAUCUCGAGACGUGAGUGGGCCUCAUCAAAAGGUAGCCUUUUCCUGCUCUUUUCCUUUCUCUUUGAAGUUUAAGAGGGUGUAUGCUUGUGACAGGCUUGCCUCCAGCAAAAUAGCUCAGUGUUCAGGUUCUAUUGUCAUUGCAAACUGCUGGUAGUGGUGAACAGGAGUCCUGAUCUGCACUAAGCCAACACAAAUAACCUCUGCUGAGGCUGCUGGGGUGUGCUGGAGUGUAGCUGCCAUUGCUCAUGGGAGGAAGGCUGGGGACACAAGGGCACCAAAUUGCCAUUUGCCAUUCUCCUGCUGAAAUGGCCACCUCUUGCUUUGGUGUGGUCACCAUGAAAUGCUCAGGGUCACAGGAUUUCUUCCAGAGUGGCAGCGUUGGCCUUUGAAGGCUGAGGAUCUGCAGUAAUUGCUUCAGAUUUAACAAAGUGCAAAAAUGGUUUGGGUUGGAACAAUGUGUUGGACCCUGACAGGGUGUUAGAUUUUGCAAGCUGCCAGAUGUGCACGGGACUCGCCCUGGGCAGAGGGGAAUGGAUGUGCUUUGUCUGGAUCAGUGCCUACAUAGCGGUGUGUUUAAAGCUGCUUUUCUGGUAGGACUGGCUCAGUAUAAAGCACAGUCCAAAGGGGUAGGUGACCGAGGUGGGCUGUUGAGCAGGAAAUUGGCAGCAGGAGACAUGUAACUCACUGGUUAAGGAUUGCCCUGGAGAGGGGCAUUGGGAGCACCUCAGGGGCAGGGUGCUGCAGCCAUGCCCUUUAGCAGACUGUGUCUCCCGUGAAGUCACGCAGGAGACCUGCUUGAGUCUCUGGAGUGACAGCAGUGUGGCUGGAGAAGGCAGACAAAGCAAUGUCUCUGCUCCAGAAGCAUUUGCUG